ensembl:lncRNA
AUGCUGAAACAAAGGCUGAACCUAGUGUUGGAUUUGAAGGAGGAAGCCCCAGGAGGUGCUGAGAGUUGUUUUGUAAACAGGAGGGUUUGCAGGGAAGACAGUGAAGUAAUGCUACUCCGUUUCCUGGAUCCUCUAUCACUAUAUCAGAUGGAGUCUUGCUCUGUCCCCAGGCUGGAGUGCCCUGGCGCGAUCUCAACUCACUACAACCUCUGCCUCCCGGGUUCAAGAAAUCCUCUUACCACAGCCUCCUGAGUAGCUGAGAUUACAGGCAUGCAUCACCAUGCCAGGCUAAUUUUUCUAUUUUUGGUACAAAUGGGGUUUCACCAUGUUGGCCAGGCUUGUCUCGAAUUCCUGGCCUCAAGUGAUUUAGCCUCGCGGCGUCCCACAGUGCUGGGAUUACAGGCAGGAGCCACCACACCUGGCCUAGGGCACGUCCUUUCUAUAUAAAUUUUAGAAUGAGCUUAUCUAUAUCUACAAAAAAGCCUUGCUGAGAUUUUAAUAGGAAUUGCCUUAAACCUACAGAUUGAUUUGGAGAGAACUGAUAUCUUUACUAUGUUGAAUCUUCCAAUUCAUGAACAUAAGAUAUUUUUCCACUUAUUUAAGC